UGACGAAUUUGAGCGGCCAUUUUGAAGUGUCAUAGAGAGGAUUUUCCCGAAGUUUGGAAUGGAGAUUCGACAGACAAAGCACUUCACCGGUUACUUAACUAUGAGAGUUACCCAGAUGGUUUCUGAUACUAUUCAAGGUUUGAAACAGUGAAGCAGCAAGUGUUGAUAGUAAACAGACAAAGACACCUGCUACGAAAGAUGACACUGAACCAACACUACGCGUUCUUAGAUCGUCACCCUUCGAAGAUUACAGCCUCGUCAGCAAUGCUCAAGCUAAUGUAAUUAUUGUAGCAAAGCCGGGGUUUAAUGCUCUCAAAAUGAGUCGAUAACAGGAAUCAAAAGUUUUUUCUUCAAUUGUGUUAAGUUACUCCUUUUCAUGACGCGUAACGAGUUGCAUGAUGUCUGAGGUACAUUGGUUAACCACAAUACUUGAUGAAGCACGUGGCACUUGGGCGAAAGCAUUAAGUACCACUUGGAUGAGAUUUCAAGUACAGAGUAAAUGAGACGUAAAAAGACUGAUAAGGAAACCGCAAGUGAACUCUCCCACGCAAAUGAUGGCCCUUGACUAAGUUGUGAGGGGGUGUGUUGGAUCCUUUCAUAUGGCGAUUAGAAAAUGUUCUGGCAAUUUAAUCAUGCCAGGAUUGUAAGGAUUGGGACUGGGUAAUUUUCUUUUUUCGGUAUCGUUUGUUUGUUCCCUGGCGUUAAUUUCCCACGUGCUCAUAAAUAUAUUAAGCUGACUCAGUAUUUUGGUGUUUAGAGGCGUUUUUCCUCUCCUUCUUUCUUAAAGAUGUGUGGCUUGUAACUAGCGAAAUGAUCCGUUUCUCAGACUAACCGUCAGAGAGACGGAGGAAAACUUUUUCUGACAAAUUCUAAGGUAUAGUGCCAAAGCAUAAUCUCAAGAAACAGUCAACGAUCA